CUGCAACAAACUUAGACUUAAAAGAGUUAAAGUAACUGGAGAUAAAGAAGUAUGUGCAGGAUUUAAUUUCACGACUAAAGAGGACUCCGAAGAAGAAUUAAAGUUCUGGGGGAUCAAAGAUCGAGGAAUGAUUUGGUUUUAACUGUUU
rnacentral:lncRNA from 1 species